UAGAGCCGCGUGAGGGAUGAACGCCUCGGUUUGUAAACCUCUUUCAGUAGGGAAGAAGCGAAAGUGACGGUACCUACAGAAGAAGCACCGGCUAACUAUGUGCCAGCAGCCGCGGUAAUACAUAGGGUGCAAGCGUUGUCCGGAAUUAUUGGGCGUAAAGAGCUCGUAGGUGGUUCGAUACGUCGGAUGUGAAAAUCAGGCGCUCAACCCCUGACCUGCAUUCGAUACGGUCGAGCUAGAGUUUGGUACGGGAGACUGGAAUUCCUGGUGUAGCGGUGGAAUGCGCAGAUAUCACGACGAACACCGAUGGCGAAGGCAGGUCUCUGGGCCAAUACUGACACUGAGGAGCGAAAGCGUGGGGAGCGAACAGGAUUAGAUACCCUGCGUAGUCCACGCCGCUAAACGGUGGGCGCUAGUUGUGCGAACCUUCCACGGCUUGUGCGACGCAGCUAACGCAUUAAGCGCCCCGCCUGCGGAGUACGAUCGCA
rnacentral:rRNA from 1 species